rnacentral:rRNA from 1 species
GAUGAACGCUGGCGGCGUGCCUAAUACAUGCAAGUCGAGCGAAUGGAUUAAGAGCUUGCUCUUAUGAAGUUAGCGGCGGACGGGUGAGUAACACGUGGGUAACCUGCCCAUAAGACUGGGAUAACUCCGGGAAACCGGGGCUAAUACCGGAUAACAUUUUGAACCGCAUGGUUCGAAAUUGAAAGGCGGCUUCGGCUGUCACUUAUGGAUGGACCCGCGUCGCAUUAGCUAGUUGGUGAGGUAACGGCUCACCAAGGCAACGAUGCGUAGCCGACCUGAGAGGGUGAUCGGCCAAACUGGGACUGGGACACGGGCCAGACUCCUACGGGAGGCAGCAGUAGGGAAUCUUCCGCAAUGGACGAAAGUCUGACGGAGCAACGCCACGUGAGUGAUGAAGGCUUUCGGGUCGUAAAACUCUGUUGUUAGGGAAGAACAAGUGCUAGUUGAAUAAGCUGGCACCUUGACGGUACCUAACCAGAAAGCCACGGCUAACUACGUGCCAGCCGCCGCGGUAA